rnacentral:rRNA from 1 species
UACAGAGGAUGCAAGCGUUAUCCGGAAUGAUUGGGCGUAAAGGGCGCGUAGGUGGCGGGACAAGCGUGCGGUGAAAGCCUGGAGCUCAACCCCGGGUCGGCCGUGCGAACUGUUUUGCUUGAGCACUGUAGAGGCAGGCGGAAUUCCGGGUGUAGCGGUGGAAUGCGUAGAGAUCCGGAAGAACACCGGUGGCGAAGGCGGCCUGCUGGGCAGUAGCUGACACUGAGGCGCGACAGCGUGGGGAGCAAACAGG